CAAUAGCGUAUAUUAAAGUUGUUGCAGUUAAAAAGCUCGUAGUUGAAUUUUUGCUUGCCGCCGAUGUCGGAACUUCCGUACGUUCGGCGGCGUGCAUCCUUGGGUGGAACCUGUGUGGCAUUAGGUUGUCGUGCAGGGGAUGCUCAUCGUUUACUGUGAAAAAAUUAGAGUGUUCAAAGCAGGCUUACGCCGUUGAAUAUAUUAGCAUGGAAUAAUAAGAUAGGACCUUGGUACUAUUUUGUUGGUUUGCGCACCGAGGUAAUGAUUAAUAGGGACAGUUGGGGGUAUUCGUAUUGCAUUGUCAGAGGUGAAAUUCUUGGAUUUUUGCAAGACGAACGACUGCGAAAGCAUUUACCAAGGAUGUUUUCAUUAA
rnacentral:rRNA from 1 species